GAGCCAUCUCUCCAAGACCCCUGAUCUUAUGAAAGAUCAGAUCAAGAAACCAGACAAGGAACAGCCCAUGAAGUGAAUCCAGAUUAUGGCAGAGGGGAUGAUUUAUUACAGUGACUCAAAAGGAAGAAGUCGGAGCACCCAGAGGAAACCCACACAGUCGCAGAGAGAACGUGAACAGACAGAACAAGCUGAGCAGCAGGUUUGUCUGGAUCUGGAGAUGCAUGUUUCUGAUCUGCUCUUAUCGGCCUCAGCGACCUCCAAAGUAUUCAUGUUCUUACCUUCCACUGUACCCUCAACCCAACCAGAGGUUGUUUUUUUUUUUAACUUCCCAGAUGGAAGCUUUUUUUUCCUCACAGCAAAUGGAGUUUUUUUUAACUUCCCAACAACAGGAAGUUUUUUUUCCUCCACACUGGUGCCACGUGCUUGAUCUGAUCAUACUGCAAAAAGAGAGAUCCUCAAAUAAAAAAACAAAACAACACAAUAGAACUGUAUGUUUGUUUAAAAUGUAACGUAAUGCAUCCUUCCUUUUAGACUUACUUUUGGAGAGUAUGUUUUAUGGCUAGCAAACUUCAUUCAUCUAAAAAACAUCGUUUCAAACCACUGGUUUCUUACAAACACCUGGGGCCUCAUUUAUAAAGCUUGCCUACACACAAAACAGGGC